GGUUGGAGAUGGGGAUGAUGACAGACCAGCCAGCCGAACUCAAAUUGGAUUAGACAUUAUGCGCCACCUGGUUGCUGAAGCUCGAGAGGACCUUUAUGGACAAAAAAUCCUGUUCAAGUUCUGUCUGGAAUUCCAUACCACCUCAAGAGAAUGGAAAAUGUCUUCAAAUUCUGAUGUGCCAGCAGCCUGAAGUGGUCAAAUAAUUUGAAACUGGAUGCAGCACAGAAUCCCAUAUUUCAAGAGAAUGCAGAUGUAAGUCAUCCCUGUCAAACUUGUUUGUGUGAAUAAUACAAAUUGUGAC